GGAGAGUUUGAUCAUGGCUCAGAUUGAACGCUGGCGGCAGGCCUAACACAUGCAAGUCGAACGGUAACAGGAAGCAGCUUGCUGCUUCGCUGACGAGUGGCGGACGGGUGAGUAAUGUCUGGGAAACUGCCUGAUGGAGGGGGAUAACUACUGGAAACGGUGGCUAAUACCGCAUAACGUCGCAAGACCAAAGAGGGGGACCUUCGGGCCUCUUGCCAUCAGAUGUGCCCAGAUGGGAUUAGCUUGUUGGUGAGGUAACGGCUCACCAAGGCGACGAUCCCUAGCUGGUCUGAGAGGAUGACCAGCCACACUGGAACUGAGACACGGUCCAGACUCCUACGGGAGGCAGCAGUGGGGAAUAUUGCACAAUGGGCGCAAGCCUGAUGCAGCCAUGCCGCGUGUAUGAAGAAGGCCUUCGGGUUGUAAAGUACUUUCAGCGGGGAGGAAGGUGUUGUGGUUAAUAACCGCAGCAAUUGACGUUACCCGCAGAAGAAGCACCGGCUAACUCCGUGCCAGCAGCCGCGGUAAUACGGAGGGUGCAAGCGUUAAUCGGAAUUACUGGGCGUAAAGCGCACGCAGGCGGUCUGUCAAGUCGGAUGUGAAAUCCCCGGGCUCAACCUGGGAACUGCAUUCGAAACUGGCAGGCUUGAGUCUUGUAGAGGGGGGUAGAAUUCCAGGUGUAGCGGUGAAAUGCGUAGAGAUCUGGAGGAAUACCGGUGGCGAAGGCGGCCCCCUGGACAAAGACUGACGCUCAGGUGCGAAAGCGUGGGGAGCAAACAGGAUUAGAUACCCUGGUAGUCCACGCCGUAAACGAUGUCUACUUGGAGGUUGUGCCCUUGAGGCGUGGCUUCCGGAGCUAACGCGUUAAGUAGACCGCCUGGGGAGUACGGCCGCAAGGUUAAAACUCAAAUGAAUUGACGGGGGCCCGCACAAGCGGUGGAGCAUGUGGUUUAAUUCGAUGCAACGCGAAGAACCUUACCUGGUCUUGACAUCCACAGAAGAAUCCAGAGAUGGAUUGGUGCCUUCGGGAACUGUGAGACAGGUGCUGCAUGGCUGUCGUCAGCUCGUGUUGUGAAAUGUUGGGUUAAGUCCCGCAACGAGCGCAACCCUUAUCCUUUGUUGCCAGCGAUUAGGUCGGGAACUCAAAGGAGACUGCCAGUGAUAAACUGGAGGAAGGUGGGGAUGACGUCAAGUCAUCAUGGCCCUUACGACCAGGGCUACACACGUGCUACAAUGGCGCAUACAAAGAGAAGCGACCUCGCGAGAGCAAGCGGACCUCAUAAAGUGCGUCGUAGUCCGGAUUGGAGUCUGCAACUCGACUCCAUGAAGUCGGAAUCGCUAGUAAUCGUGGAUCAGAAUGCCACGGUGAAUACGUUCCCGGGCCUUGUACACACCGCCCGUCACACCAUGGGAGUGGGUUGCAAAAGAAGUAGGUAGCUUAACCUUCGGGAGGGCGCUUACCACUUUGUGAUUCAUGACUGGGGUGAAGUCGUAACAAGGUAACCGUAGGGGAACCUGCGGUUGGAUCACCUCCUUACCUUAAAGAA
rnacentral:rRNA from 1 species